UACGUAGGUGGCAAGCGUUGUCCGGAAUUAUUGGGCGUAAAGCGCGCGCAGGCGGUCCUUUAAGUCUGAUGUGAAAGCCCACGGCUCAACCGUGGAGGGUCAUUGGAAACUGGGGGACUUGAGUACAGAAGAGAAGAGUGGAAUUCCACGUGUAGCGGUGAAAUGCGUAGAGAUGUGGAGGAACACCAGUGGCGAAGGCGACUCUUUGGUCUGUAACUGACGCUGAGGCGCGAAAGCGUGGGGAGCAAACAGGAU
rnacentral:rRNA from 1 species